UUAGUGGAAGCGUCUGGAAAGGCGCGCGAUACAGGGUGACAGCCCCGUACACAAAAGCGCAUGUGCUGUGAGCUCGAUGAGUAGGGCGGGACACGUGGUAUCCUGUCUGAAUAUGGGGGGACCAUCCUCCAAGGCUAAAUACUCCUGACUGACCGAUAGUGAACCAGUACCGUGAGGGAAAGGCGAAAAGAACCCCGGCGAGGGGAGUGAAAAAGAACCUGAAACCGUGUACGUACAAGCAGUGGGAGCACAGGUUUACCUGUGUGACUGCGUACCUUUUGUAUAAUGGGUCAGCGACUUAUAUUCUGUAGCAAGGUUAACCGAAUAGGGGAGCCGGAGGGAAACCGAGUCUUAAYYGGGCGUUAAGUUGCAGGGUAUAGACCCGAAACCCGGUGAUCUAGCCAUGGGCAGGUUGAAGGUUGGGUAACACUAACUGGAGGACCGAACCGACUAAUGUUGAAAAAUUAGCGGAUGACCUGUGGCUGGGGGUGAAAGGCCAAUCAAACCGGGAGAUAGCUGGUUCUCCCCGAAAGCUAUUUAGGUAGCGCCUCGUGAAUUCAUCUCCGGGGGUAGAGCACUGUUUCGGCUAGGGGGCCAUCCCGGCUU
rnacentral:rRNA from 1 species